rnacentral:rRNA from 1 species
CGCCUGGGGAGUAGGGCCGCAAGGUUAAAACUCAAAUGAAUUGACGGGGGCCCGCACAGGCGGUGGAGCAUGUGGUUUAAUUCGACGCAACGCGAAGAACCUUACCUGGCCUUGACAUCCAGAGAGCUUUCCAGAGAUGGAUUGGUGCCUUCGGGAACUCUGAGACAGGUGCUGCAUGGCCGUCGUCAGCUCGUGUCGUGAGAUGUUGGGUUAAGUCCCGUAACGAGCGCAACCCCUGUCCCUGGUUGCUAGCAGGUAAUGCUGAGAACUCCAGGGAGACUGCCGGUGACAAACCGGAGGAAGGUGGGGAUGACGUCAGGUCAUCAUGGCCCUUACGGCCAGGGCUACACACGUGCUACAAUGGCGCGUACAGAGGGCUGCCAACUCGCGAGAGUGAGCCAAUCCCUUAAAACGCGUCGUAGUCCGGAUCGGAGUCUGCAACUCGACUCCGUGAAGUCGGAAUCGCUAGUAAUCGCGAAUCAGAAUGUCGCGGUGAAUACGUUCCCGGGCCUUGUACACACCGCCCGUCACACCAUGGGAGUGGAUUGCACCAGAAGUAGUUAGUCUAACCUUCGGGAGGACGAUUACCACGGUGUGGUUCAUGACUGGGGUGAAGUCGUAACAAGGUAACCGUA